UUUGCUGGGUUUCUCACGUAUCCCUUCAUAUCCCUUCAUAUCACUUUGUAUCUUCCUCUCCUCUCUUCAAUCUCGCCUCUUUUCCCCGGUAAAGAAGACAAAGAAGCUUCCUCCACGGUGCCUGCCAAAGUCACCGCAGCUUUUGCACGUGCCUCACCGGCCGAAGAGAACGUCGUUGCAUCAGAGAGCAUCGCUGUCUUCCUCGUUUUUCAUCAUCGUCUCUUUACCUCCAUCAAGAGGCGUCAUUUUGAGCAAGUACAAGUGGCUAUUUCGAUCAUUCUGAAUGUGUUGAAGGCUGUGGCUUUAGAUUCAGAUGACGCAGAUGAUGCAGAACCUUAUAGUGUAUUUCACAGAGUUAUUGGGAUUGCAAAUUCUAUAUAUGAAGUUUGCAAUAAGUUGGUCUGUUAAUUUGAAAGAUUUGUCCCUCUUAUUUGAUAGGAAAAUUUUAGCUAUUGAUUCCAAUAUUUGCC